GGAAGGCAAGCGUAGCAUGAAGAGCAAGAAGACCACACAAUCUCUUUGAAACGGCUAAAAUGGACUUCUUCUUCUUCAAAAUAUUUUAUCUACUGCUGCUGAAAGCAACGGUGGAGGGAGCAACCGUGGCCAGCAGAAUUACGUUUCAUCCACAGACGCCCCCGCUGGUCCUCCUCAGACCCUUCCUGACGCUCAACUGCAGCUUCGACAUUGAGGGUGACACCUACCGGGUUAGCGCCUACCGGGUUAGGGUCAACUGGUUUAAGAAGGAAGGCCAGAGCUCAGGCUGUGGAGAACCCAAGUUCUCUUCCGGCCUGUCCAAUGAGACAGCGAGCCUGGUGACAAGGGACCGAGUCACACAGUGGACGGGACGUAACUGGUCAAGCCUGACUUUGAGAGACGUUACAGCCAAUGACAGUGGGUGGUACUUCUGUGAGGUUGUGGUGGAGAUUCCUAUCUUUCAGCAAAAAUGCAACCCUGGAACUGAAGUUAUCGUGCCAUCUUCACUGAGAAGUUCCCCUGCUACUAAAACUGCAGCUAAACACACAACACCUCGCUCCCCCGCAUCACUCCCACAUCAUGUGAAUGCACACUGGUGGGUGUGGGUGACAGUGGGUGUUGGAAGUCUUAUGCUGGCUGCAAUCUUUAUUGGUGGUGUAAGGAUACUAUGCAGGAGGAUGAGAUGCCAGAAUAAAGAGAAUCCCAUCUAUGAGAACAUGCAUCCAGUGCACAAGAACGCGGGUCAUCCCCAGCCCUCCCCACGCCCACGAACGCAGCAGAACCCUUCUGAUCCGCCGUCCUCAGUACACCCGGGGACACCCAAAAUACUCUGAACACCUGGGCCUGAACAGUGACCGGAACUGUAGACGGCUCUCCACGGAACCGAUUCUCCCCAGAACGAUCCGUCACAUACCGCGCGGCACAUCGUCUUCAGCCACUGCAGUGCACGCGCUCCUCUGCCUUUACUUACUGGUUUUGUGCACAGUUCCCAAUACUCCCUCUUUCACCAUGAUCUUUGCCAACCUUUGUUUUUAACUGCCCACGUCAGUCGAUCACUGUGAGCUCUUUAGUUCGGGUUUGAGCGUAAUUUACCAAAAGGAAUCCGUUUCAUGGGUGGUCGAAGCAUGGAAAAUGGUCACACGCUGCUGAACGAGAACCGAGAGCAGAAAGGAUUUGAAUUCUGCUUCUGGAACACUGAGGGAUCGCUCUGAUUUUAGGUUGUUGUACUUUCGUGCCCCACUAGGCAGCAGUCAACGAUAGGACCAAACCUAUGGGGUGGAUUAACGCGGAAUUUAAAAGUGUUUUGUUCAUUCUGUCAUCUAGCCACCAUAUUGUGCAAUCUGUUGUUUAUGAUGUCUGCCAGUUUUUGAGUUCAACUUUCAAAACAACUGCUUGUACAGGCAGUCUAAAUAUCUCUGCAUUAAGAUGCACUUCGUGUACGUUGUCAAGAUGGAGAAGAGGCUGGGAAAGAGAGAGAGAGUUGAAUUUGAAGAUAAACUGUUGGAAAUUGCUGGUGAAGUCAAACAUUAGAAUGGAGUUAAUUGAGGCCGUUUUACUGUAGCACUUCUGUGUCUUUAAAACCUGUUUUUCACUUAAUUCAUAUGUCAUUUGUAUUGUAGCAGUGUUAAUAAUAAAUCAACACAGACCAUA